rnacentral:rRNA from 1 species
CCUACGGGCGGCAGCAGUCGAGAAUCAUUCACAAUGGGGGAAACCCUGAUGGUGCGACGCCGCGUGGGGGAAUGAAGGUCUUCGGAUUGUAAACCCCUGUCAUGUGGGAGAAAAUUAAAAAGAUAGUACCACAAGAGGAAGAGACGGCUAACUCUGUGCCAGCAGCCGCGGUAAUACAGAGGUCUCAAGCGUUGUUCGGAAUCACUGGGCGUAAAGCGUGCGUAGGCGGUUUCGUAAGUAGUGUGUGAAAGGUGCGGGCUCAACCGGCGGAAGGAAGAUGAUACUGCGAGACUAGAGUAAUGGAGGGGAAACCGGAAUUCUCGGUGUAGCAGUGAAAUGCGUAGAUAUCGAGAGGAACACUCGUGGCGAAGGCGGGUUCCUGGACAUUAACUGACGCUGAGGCACGAAGGCCAGGGGAGCGAAAGGGAUUAGAUACCCGUGUAGUC